UCUUCAAUGGUAUAAUGGUAGAACUCACGCCUGUCAAGCAUCUGGGAGUCUCUCUCUCAAAGCAAGAUUGUGCGCGUGCGACCUGGGUUCGAUUCCCAGUUGGAGAG